AACAAUCUCUGUCAAUUUGGCAUAAAACCUUUUUCACUUUACCAUACUGUGCCAUUAUGCCCCUGUACAUUUUUUUUAUUCUCUCUUUUCAGCCAACUACUUAACAUUUGAGAUGGGGUUGUUCCAUCAGUGUAAUAGGAGCUGUUCAUACAUCGUUUGCUGCACUAUCUCUCUCUCUCUCUCUCUUAGGAUGGGAUUGAGGCUGCAAACCUAUUAAAUAUACAUAUAAAGGCACUGUAUGAAUCUGUUGCACACCUAAUCACAGGUAUGGAUUGUGAAGAUGGUGCUAAUAAAGAGGUUCAAGAACUGGUUGUUGGUGUAAGAAGACCAAAGGGUUUUUUUCCUCUUGGUGGGAGUGGGACUAGUCUAGCUUCUAUGGAGUCCUUGUCAAUGCCUCAGGUUCAGGAGGUUGUUCUGUCUGCAGACAUGCAAUGUGAGAGGUACCAGAAGAGGGUUACUGACAUUAUUGCAAAAAUGAAUGGAUGAACAGGAGCAUUUGAUUCCCAAGAGGAAGAGAGAGGAAAUGCAUACAUCAUUCAUAAGAGGUGGUCCUUGUUGGUUUCCACCUAGGAAUAGGCUGGCAUAUGUUUUGGCAUGAAGCUAGAGACAGAGUCCGUGGUGAUUAAUGUUUUGGAAAAGCAAGUGACGCUUACAUUCAGAUUACCAUCUAUGGGGAAAGUUACCACUCGUCAAAUUACUCCCGUCAACAAUAGGAAUUCUCUCCCCAAAGUUGCAAUCAUCAAGCGAUUAUUUCGCUCUUCCCGUGGUUGACCAGUGACUUGCGCACAUAUGUUCAUAAGAAUAUUUUGUAGAUUGAUUUGACUAUGUACAGAAGUAAGAAAAUUUGUGGAUCCAUGAUUCAAUUAGUUUGGUGAUUGUAAUUAGUUUGGCUAAAUUGUAUUAAUCUUAUUCUUUUUAUGUCUUUAUUUAUUUUUCACAUUUAUCGUGAGGAUAUUUUUUGUGCAAUAGACUUGUUUCUCAUGAUACCUCCACCAAUGAUUUGAUUUGGUGCGAUUCUCUUCUU